rnacentral:rRNA from 1 species
UACGAAGGGGGCUAGCGUUGCUCGGAAUGACUGGGCGUAAAGGGCGCGUAGGCGGUUUGUACAGUCAGAUGUGAAAUUCCUGGGCUUAACCUGGGGGCUGCAUUUGAUACGUGCAGACUUGAGUGAGGAAGAGGGUUGUGGAAUUCCCAGUGUAGAGGUGAAAUUCGUAGAUAGUUGGGAAGAACACCGGUGGCGAAGGCGGCAACCUGGUCCUUGACUGACGCUGAGGCGCGAAAGCGUGGGGAGCAAACAGG